UACGUAGGGAGCAAGCGUUGUCCGGAUUAUUGGGCGUAAAGAGCUCGUAGGCGGCUUAGAAAGUCAGGUGUGAAAACUCUGGGCUUAACCCAGAGACGCCACUUGAUACUUCUAUGGCUUGAGUUCGGUAGGGGACCAUGGAAUUCCUGGUGUAGCGGUGAAAUGCGCAGAUAUCAGGAGGAACACCGAUGGCGAAGGCAGGUCUCUGGGCAAUAACUGACGCUGAGGAGCGAAAGCGUGGGGAGCGAACAGG
rnacentral:rRNA from 1 species